CCCUUAGAUGUUCUGGGCCGCACGCGCGCUACACUGAUGCAUUCAACGAGUCUAAAACCUGCUCUGAUAGGGGUGGGUAAUCUUUUGAAUGUGCAUCGUGAUUGGGAUAGACGAUUGCAAUUUUUCAUCUUCAACGAGGAAUGCCUAGUAAACGCAAGUCAUCAGCUUGCAUUGAUUACGUCCCUGCCCUUUGUACACACCGCCCGUCGCUCCUACCGAUUGAAUGAUCCGAUGAAUAUCAUGGAUUGAGGAUGCAAGCAGGUUCGCCUGUCUUCAUCUUCGAGAAGUGAAGUAAAUCUUAUCAUUUAGAGGAAGGAGAAGUCGUAACA
rnacentral:rRNA from 1 species